UAAAGGGCGCGUAGGCGGCUUUAUAAGUCAGAUGUGAAAUCCCUGGGCUUAACCUAGGAAUGGCAUUUGAAACUGUAAGGCUAGAGAUCGAGAGAGGAUAGUGGAAUUGCGAGUGUAGAGGUGAAAUUCGUAGAUAUUCGCAAGAACACCGGUGGCGAAGGCGGCUAUCUGGCUCGAUACUGACGCUAAGGCGCGAAAGCGUGGGGAGCAAACAGGAUUAGAUACCCUGU
rnacentral:rRNA from 1 species